AUUGGAGGGUACCAGAACCUGGAGAGAUCUUGCUUGGUAAAGAAUAAAGGGACGCCCAAACGGGUGAAGGUAUGCUUUGAUGAGGAGCAGUUGGAGCGAGUGUGUGAGUACCCAUCUGAGAGUUCGAUGCUGGCCUCCCUCCCUCCCUCUCCCCUGCCAGUCCCAGAGCAAGUGAGGGCUGAGAAGGGGAGGGGGGAGGUGGAGGAGGAAGAUGAGGAUGAGGAAGAAAAAGGAGUGUUUAUGUCCAAGAACAACAAGAGUUUGGGAACAGGACGAGUGCUGAGAGUGGAUGAAUCCUGUCGGCGGUAGGUGGAGCUUACCUCGUCCCGGCCAUCUACGGACAGAUUUUAGGAUUUAAACAUUUGAUUUUUAAGAUAGUUAUAUUGGAUAAUAAACUGUUUG